AAGGGAGUGAGUGGCAGCAGGGUAAGGAAGUGAGGCAAGGCCACACUCCAGAUCCCACUCAGCAGCGGAGAGGCCGCAGGAUGCUAAUCCUUUGUUCUACAGAGACUGCCCUUGACUUCAGGUGCUGCAAUGAGAAAAUGGGAAGAGUUCAGAAGCUUGGAACGUCCUAGGCCCAGAGAAGGGGGUGAAGGCAUGUGAGGAAGGCAGCCUAUCUCUUCCUGCUUGAGGUAAAGCCAGAAACAAGUGCCUAUCAGGCGACCAG